AAACGACUCUCGGCAACGGAUAUCCCGGCUCUCGCAUCGAUGAAGAACGUAGCGAAAUGCGAUACUUGGUGUGAAUUGCAGAAUCCCGUGAACCAUCGAGUCUUUGAACGCAAGUUGCGCCCGAAGCCAUUAGGCCAAGGGCACGUCUGCCUGGGCGUCACAC
rnacentral:rRNA from 1 species